rnacentral:lncRNA from 1 species
GGAUGAAGUGCCGAUGAUACUUUGCUCUGGAAGACAGCUGUGAUGGGGAAAACCCUUUCAUCUGACAAAAGUGUUUUGCCAUCCAACUAAUCAAAGGAUUUUCUUUAGUUAACGGAAGCUGUAAAAUUGAUCACCGGGAAGUAUGAAUUACUUGGAAUGGAUCAGUAGACACCAUAUACAUGAAUACAGUCCUGUAAGACCCAGACUGGUACGUAUGUCAUCUAUGGUCCCUAGAAAUUAUUAUUCUACUAUUAGGGAUUUAUCUUAACAUAAAUGCAGUGUUGACCAUAUACUGUAAUAACACUUACACUAAAAACAUAAAUGCAAAUUAUGAUCAGACUCAGAGAAAAUGACUCCUUUCAAAUUCUUUUAAUACUACAGUUGAUGAAAUGGAACACUAAAAUAUCUCUGUCAAAUUGAAACGAAGUCCAGUUAUCAUGUCUGCACAAUGGCCAAAGUGAUGCCUAUGAAAAAUCUUUAGAUAGGAAAGAAGUUUAAUGGUAUCCAUGAAUUGGAAAACAAAGGGUGGGAAGUUGGCAUCCCACCCUGAGACUGGGCUGGAGUCACCCCCCCCCCCCCCCCCAAAUUAUUUGGCAAGAUCAGAACACUAAGACCACUAUCUAGUGGAGACUCUUCUGGCAUGAUCAGACACAAGUGCACUAAAUGAUCAACAACUAAGAAAUAUUAAAACAGUAAGUGUUAUUGAGCCUCCCAGGACUAAUAAAGACUGCCCAUAAUCUAUCUAUCUAACAACAACAACAACAACAACAACAACAACAACAACAACACCAAUGCCUUUAUUUUUGUAUCCCGCCUCCAUCUCCCCGAAGGGAUUCAAAGCAGCUUACAUGGGGACAAGCCUGAUCAAAAUCUAUAUAUAUAAAAUGAUAAAGUUGUUUGCGCAGUGACUAUAACAACAAAACUAAACAUCCUAGAAAUACGAAAUUUGGCAACACAAUGCAAAAGGCUUGCCUCCAGGUUACAACAACACAACCACACCACAAAACCACAAUCCAGACCCACAAAACUCACAACAUCGCAUCAUGCAAUAACAACACAACUAAACGCCCCAGAAAUACAAAACUUGGCAACACAAUGCAAAAGCCUUCCCUCCCAGUUGGAACAACACAACCACACCACAAAACCACACAGGACCCACAAAACUCACAACAACGCAUCGUGACUAUAACAAAUACAAAACUUGGCAACACAACACAAAAACCUUGCCUCCCAGUUGGAACAACACAACCACACCACAAAACCACACAGGACCCACAAAACUCACAACAACGCAUCGUGACUAUAACAAAUACAAAAUUUGACAACACAACUCAUCCACCUCCCCAAUCCCUACAUUCACACUUGGCCUCCAAAAAAACAAUUACAAUAAUAACAAUGACAACAACAACAACAAUAAGAAUCAACACCAUCACAGGCAAGAAACAGCCAGGCACUGAGGCUGAGAGGCCAUUCAGUGCUACACUGGGCCUCCAAAAAACAAUACAGUAG